UCUUAGCCCUGAUUGCAGCGGCAUCCUUUUUUGUGAUUGCGGUGGCAGAAAAGUGAAAUGAUAAAAUAAUGUUGUCCGCAAUCACAAAAAAGAUAUAGCGGAAAGCAGGUAGAACA
rnacentral:sRNA from 1 species